rnacentral:rRNA from 1 species
UGGGGAAUUUUGGACAAUGGGCGCAAGCCUGAUCCAGCAAUGCCGCGUGUGUGAAGAAGGCCUUCGGGUUGUAAAGCACUUUUGUCCGGAAAGAAAUCCGUCUGGCUGAUACCCGGACGGGAUGACGGUACCGGAAGAAUAAGCACCGGCUAACUACGUGCCAGCAGCCGCGGUAAUACGUAGGGUGCGAGCGUGAAUCGGAAUUACUGGGCGUAAAGCGUGCGCAGGCGGCUUUGUAAGACAGAUGUGAAAUCCCCGGGCUCAACCUGGGAACUGCAUUUGUGACUGCAAGGCUAGAGUGCGUCAGAGGGAGGUGGAAUUCCGCGUGUAGCAGUGAAAUGCGUAGAGAUGCGGAGGAACACCGAUGGCGAAGGCAGCCUCCUGGGAUGACACUGACGCUCAUGCACGAAAGCGUGGGGAGCAAACA